rnacentral:rRNA from 1 species
UGCAGUCGACGAUGAUGCCCAGCUUGCUGGGUGGAUUAGUGGCGAACGGGUGAGUAACACGUGAGUAACCUGCCCCUGACUCUGGGAUAAGCGUUGGAAACGACGUCUAAUACUGGAUAUGAUCACUGGCCGCAUGGUCUGGUGGUGGAAAGAUUUUUUGGUUGGGGAUGGACUCGCGGCCUAUCAGCUUGUUGGUGAGGUAAUGGCUCACCAAGGCGACGACGGGUAGCCGGCCUGAGAGGGUGACCGGCCACACUGGGACUGAGACACGGCCCAGACUCCUACGGGAGGCAGCAGUGGGGAAUAUUGCACAAUGGGCGAAAGCCUGAUGCAGCAACGCCGCGUGAGGGAUGACGGCCUUCGGGUUGUAAACCUCUUUUAGUAGGGAAGAAGCGAAAGUGACGGUACCUGCAGAAAAAGCACCGGCUAACUACGUGCCAGCAGCCGCGGUAAUACGUAGGGUGCAAGCGUUGUCCGGAAUUAUUGGGCGUAAAGAGCUCGUAGGCGGUUUGUCGCGUCUGCUGUGAAAUCCCGAGGCUCAACCUCGGGCUUGCAGUGGGUACGGGCAGACUAGAGUGCGGUAGGGGAGAUUGGAAUUCCUGGUGUAGCGGUGGAAUGCGCAGAUAUCAGGAGGAACACCGAUGGCGAAGGCAGAUCUCUGGGCCGUAACUGACGCUGAGGAGCGAAAGCAUGGGGAGCGAACAGGAUUAGAUACCCUGGUAGUCCAUGCCGUAAACGUUGGGCGCUAGAUGUAGGGACCUUUCCACGGUUUCUGUGUCGUAGCUAACGCAUUAAGCGCCCCGCCUGGGGAGUACGGCCGCAAGGCUAAAACUCAAAGGAAUUGACGGGGGCCCGCACAAGCGGCGGAGCAUGCGGAUUAAUUCGAUGCAACGCGAAGAACCUUACCAAGGCUUGACAUACACCGGAAACGGCCAGAGAUGGUCGCCCCCUUGUGGUCGGUGUACAGGUGGUGCAUGGUUGUCGUCAGCUCGUGUCG